rnacentral:pre_miRNA from 1 species
AAAAAGACAAACCCUGGUUUCCGUGUCCAACGUUUGACCGUCCGUCUUAUUAGAAAAAAUUAUAAAAAAAUUAAAAAGACAAGUCAUGCAUAAAAUAUUAAUCAUUUUUAUCAUCUAACAACAAUGAAAAUUCAAAUUAUAAAAAAAUUUCAUAUAAGACGGACAGUCAAAGUUGGAAAAAAAAUCCAGAGUUUGCUUUUUUU